rnacentral:rRNA from 1 species
CCUACGGGAGGCAGCAGUGAGGAAUAUUGGUCAAUGGCCGGAAGGCUGAACCAGCCAUGCCGCGUGAAGGUCAGUGCCCUAUGGGCGUUAAACUUCUUUUGUGCGGGAGCAAUAAUGGUCACGUGUGGCCAGACGAGAGUACCGUACGAAUAAGCAUCGGCUAACUCCGUGCCAGCAGCCGCGGUAAUACGGGGGAUGCAAGCGUUAUCCGGAUUUAUUGGGUUUAAAGGGUGCGUAGGCUGGGAGGUAAGUCAGCGGUGAAAUGCCCCCGCUCAACGGGGUGAAGUGCCAUUGAUACUGCCUGGCUGGAAUGCGGAUGCCGUGGGAGGAAUGUGUGGUGUAGCGGUGAAAUGCAUAGAUAUCACACAGAACACCGAUUGCGAAGGCAUCUCACGAAUCCGCGAUUGACGCUGAUGCAUGAAAGCGUGGGUAUCAAACAGGAUUAGAUACCCCGGUAGUC